UACGGAGGAUCCGAGCGUUAUCCGGAUUUAUUGGGUUUAAAGGGUGCGCAGGCGGGAGAUUAAGUCGGCGGUGAAAUUCUGCAGCUCAACUGUAAAAGUGCCUUCGAAACUGGUUUCCUUGAGUGUAGAUGAAGUAGGCGGAAUUUGUGGUGUAGCGGUGAAAUGCAUAGAUAUCACGAGGAACUCCGAUUGCGCAGGCAGCUUACUAAACUACUACUGACGCUCAGGCACGAAGGCGUGGGGAGUCAAACAGGAUUAGAUACCCU
rnacentral:rRNA from 1 species